CCACACACACCCCCCGCAAGCAGAAAAGCAGGCCCCGGAGCCUCGCAGAUAGCAGGCAAAGUGCAGCGGCUGCAGCAGCCAACAGCAAGCGCAACAAAAAGGGAACGACAGCACGCAGCCGCCCUGACUCCUCUUCCAGGAGGUCCUGGACUGCUGGCCCCGAAGGCCGAAAUCCUGCUUCCAUCCGCGGACCAGGUGCAUCGCGGGGAGCAAUGUGCCGAAAUCCUUCACAGGCUCCAAGCCGUGCUGCGGCGUUUGCGGCAGCGGCUCCUGGAGACCCUAGGCAGGAUCAAGUCCCUAUCUCACUACAGGCUGGAAAAAAACGUGGACUGACUUCAACAGUUAUUCAUGUAUUUUUUUAAACUGCUUGCAUUGCAGUGCCGCAUGGGACCCUGUAAUUCUAGGACCGCACGAAAAAGAUGAUCCCCGUCCUGAAGCGAUACGGGAGAGCUGGUUAGGAUAGGAAGCUCUGCCUGGAGCAUCUUCCCAAGCAUCCAGAGGUGCCAGCGCAUCCCGUGCGGCCGAGGCGGCUCAAUAUCGGCACCUUCCCCACGGCUCAGCCCCAGUAAACCGCCUCAAGGCCCAGCUGCACCUCGCUUGCAAAGCGGGCUUAGGAGAAGCCGAGUCUCCCCCAAACCACCGCCGCGGUCUCUCCCCCGCGUGCCGGUCCGCGCGUGCCCACGCCGCCACGAGAGCCGAGCUGCUUUGCCCGCCCCGACUGCUUCAACAACAGGGUCCUGUGCACACGCGCAGCUGGGAAAUCCCUUACUCGCAAGAAGGCAGAGGGAUUUUAAAAAGCAUAAAACGCAAAAAGCCAAAAGCUCUUGUCCACGACCGCAAACAGCAUCUCACCGUCUCCCAGCGAGGCCCACACGCGUGCGGCACGCGAGACACGAGAAAGGCAAACGCCUCGCUGCCCCGGCUGCACCAAGCGCGCUCCAGGCACCUAUGGCCUCGCUUACGGCAGGCGACGUCGCCCGGAAAAGGACGGGGCCGAGCGGGGCGGACGCGCGCGUCCGAGAGGAGACGCAACCGCGGCCGCUCGCCUUCAUCGCUCAGCACCCCCCGCCCCGCACCCCCCAGUCCGCUGCCGUCUCUCCCCGUCGGUUUCCAAUUUAGCCGCUUCUCCGAGCUUCAUCCUCGCCUUGUAGCGCGACGUGUUCGUUACGCAAGAGCCGGCGCGCUGCACGAAGCCCGGCCGGGCUGCUCGCGUUGAACGGCGGUCGCGCCCAGGCGGCUCUCCACGUGCCAUUACUCCGGGUGAUUGAGGCAAUUUCUUCCUCUGCCGGGAGUUUCAGCUGUAAAUCUCUCAAGCAGACCCGGAGGCAACGAUGUGCUGCCUACUGCCAUUAUUAUUAACCUUUAGCGUUAAACGUGCGGGACUUCCCCGACUCCGCAGAAGCGGAUGCACGCACACCCCUCCCGGGAAACCCGGGACCGCUGCAGGAUAACGUCUUCUCCCAAGUUAUCCAUUUCUCUCGCACGGGGGGACACAAGCAUCACUUUCUUAACCUAAACAGCAUGGUAAGUACUUGCAGGCGGACAGAAAGGAAAGAUUUGCAAACUAAAGACGCGCCAAGUUAACGGCCUGUACGCAUAGCGAGGGAUCAGGGCAAGGGAGGCUUCGGGCUGCUCCUUGGGGACUGGGCGCGCAGGGAGGAAAAGCCAAUGACCCCUGCAGGAAAGGCUCUAGAAACACGAGGAAAUUUCCCAAAACGAAGGUGGAACAGGGAGAUCCUCGUCCGGGACGUUUAUCCCGCCACGCGGUUCCCAAAGCCGCGCUCCUUGCUCGGCGGAGGGACCCCUCGGGCUGGCGCGGCUCCGUCGCCCCGCGGCCGCUGCUCUGGCAGACGCGGGUAAAGGCCCUUGUCCGCCGCUCGCGCUCCCCAGCAACGCUGCACGGCCUCGCCACCCCCGGCUUUCCCCCCAGGGACGGAGGCCACGCGAUGACUGCCGCUUACGUCUUCAGCCUGCCCAGCCCCGAAACGCUUCGGGAGGAAGGCAGCUGAGCUCCUGCGGCUUCACGCGGCUUCGGGUUUUCUUCCCCCCCCAACGCAGGGGAGCAGCUUUGCCGGCCCUGCCUCUGCUCCCCUUCCGUGCAAAGCCGGCUGGCUGAAGAAACGUCAGCUUUCCCGAGUUGGCACGAGUGGCUUUUCCUAGCACUGCUGUUUUGUUUCCGCGAGCUUUGGCGCAUUUGGGGAGUUCCCUGGUCUUGCGGUUGUGGAGCUCAAUGCUCUAACAGUGCAACAAGGAUUUUAGGUGUUGCUUAGUGAUUUGAGGGACGGGGCGGGGGGAGAGAAGAGCUGUUUUAAAUCAUAAAAAUCCGUGACUUUUGCCAUCACUUUUAAAAGCUGUGAUUUGUAAACUCCGAGUGAAGUUUACAACAUCCGAGCGCUUGUGCAUACACACACACGCACGCAGCAGACAGGCGUCUGGUCCAGCACAGUCAGGAUUUUGUCAGGCUUGUUCAGUUCGCUCUGAGACCGAGUACAGUCCGGCGCUCUGCUUUUGCGCAUGAGAUGUACCGACAGCUCAUGGAAAAGUGAUUAAACGUGUUAGACUUUGUUAAAAAAUGCACCAAGCUGCAUGCAAGGAGGAGGGAGGAGAACGGCUCGCUGUGCACCACGCGGAUGGGCCCCAGCGCCCAGCCGAGGCAGUUGGAUAUGGUCCCACGCGUGGGGAGGGGAGCCGUGAACACCCCUCCAUCGCGCCACCGCUGCGGUGCAACGGGGACCAGGGAGCGUCCGGGAGGACACAGCUGCUUCGGGGGACUUUGGGGUGGCACCACGGGACUUUGGUUUUUAAAGCUGGGCUCCUUCAAGGGGCGUCACAGCAGAGCGAGGAGCAGCGACCCAAAGCCGCGACAUUGGCGCUGCAAGCACCUCUCCGAGUCCCC